rnacentral:lncRNA from 1 species
GCAUAAUAUCUCUCUUUCUGUGCUGAUGAAUUGACCUCCCCGUUUGUUGGUUUUUGGAUGGUGUUUGAUAGAUAUCCACGGUAUUUACAUUUAAAAGCUUUCUUCAUUUUUUUUUAAUUUAUUAAUAUUUUUAUCAAUUUCUAUUCCAAACUUUCAAAUAAUAUCUGAAUGUUUGGUUUAAGUUUGUGCUAUAACAGGAUCCUUAGAUGUGUAUGACUCUCAGGUUCAAUUGUUCUUCAAUUCCCCUCUCUGACAGUUUUCUUUUUUGUCAAGGUGGCAGAAUAUCUCUCUUUCAGUGCUGAUGAAUUGACCCCCCUCUGAUGGUUUUUGGAUGGCGUUUGAUAGACGAUCAUCCACGGUAUUUAUAUUUAAAAACCUUCUUCCUUUUUUUUUAAUUUAUUAAUGUUUUUAUCAAUUUCUAUUCCAAACUUUCAAAUAAUAUCUAAAUGUUUGGUUUAAGUUUGUGCUAUAGCAGGAUCCUUAGAUGUGUAUGACUCUCAGGUUCAAUUGUUCUCCAAUUUCUCCUCUCUGACAGUUUUCUUUUUUGUCAAGGUGGCAGAAUAUCUCUCUUUCAGUGUUGAUGAAUUAACCCUCCUCUGAUGGUUUUUGGAUGGUGUUUAAUAGAUGAUCAUCCACGGUAUUUACAUUUAAAAGCUUUCUUCCUUUUUUUUUUAAUUUAUUAAUGUUUUUAUCAAUUUCUAUUCCAAACUUUCAAAUAAUAUCUGAAUGUUUGGUUUAAGUUUGUGCUAUAUAGCAGGAUCCUUAGAUGUGUAUGACUCUCAGGUUCAAUUGUUCUCCAAUUUUCCUCAUAUGACAGUUUUCUUCUUUGUCAAGGUGGCAGAAUAUCUCUCUUUCUGUGCUGAUGCUUUGUUAAUUUUUUGCUGUAUUAGUUUAGUCUCUGAACUUUGUCUUUUUGUUCUACUUUAAAAGUGAUUGAUUGCUUGCAAUUUUACCAAGUAGAAGAGCUCCUUGCUGCCCUCCCAUUCUCUCUUUUUUGCUUUUCUUGACUGAUACUUUAGAGGGUCAUUUUGCUAAAUUUCAAGUUUCAGAACUUCUCUCUUUCCCGGGCCCUGCAUCCCCCUCGCAUGUCUAUAUGAUUUUCUUUUCCUCUCAUCUUUGGUUGAUUUUUUCUUACUGUUUACUUUAACAGCCGUUUUCAUGGGAUGACAGACCAGUGUGACUUACCUCAUCUUCUAGUACUAGGCUACACGAUUAGAAUAUUUUCCCGCAUUGUUUAUCAAUAAUUUGAAUUCUUUUUCUCUUUCUGAUAUAUGCUCUAUGCAUGCACAAAGAAAGGGGAGAAUGGUUAGAUGUGUUGUUCCGAUAUUUGCUUUAGUUGUUUCUAUGACGUGAUUGGACUAUAAUUGACCGUGUACUACAUUUCAGUUGAUUGAGCAGACUGGAGUAAUUGAGGGCCCUUGAUUAUUUUACAGAGAUGUCCCUGCUGUUAUUACAACUUCUGUGGUCAAAUGGUAUCUCCAAGUUAUUUCCAGUCUAAAAAGUUUCUUUUGUGUUGCUAGAAUUUUGCACUUGGUAUUCUGCUGUGUUUUAUAUAAGUUAUUAUUGGUAUUUUCCUUCUUGUUCGUGGAAAACUUGUUGGGUGACGAUUUAUUAUCCCUUCUGUACAAGUCAUCCCCAGUUAUGUGCUUUUUACUAGUCUUUGAAAUUUGGAACAUUUUGGUUGCCUUAGGUAUAACUCAAGAUUUUUGUCCUGCCAGGUUUAUUAGCUUAGAUUUUGCAUCUGGUGUGGCUGAAAAGUUUGUUUGUUGCUGUCUGUAAGGCAAGCCUUUUGGUGUUUGUGUGUAUGGAAAAUGUUGUGUGUACCAUAAAUAUUCUGUGAUGGCCAGUAGAUAUGCUCCCAAAUUUCUUUCUCUGACAACUCUAGAUACUAGAUUGGAAUCUUUACUUUUCUGCAUUUUGAUGUUUUGUUCAGGUUUGUGCUAUAGCAAGAUCCUUGGAUGUCUAUGAAUCUUGGGUACAAUUGUUUUCCAGUUUCCCUUGCCUGACAGUUUUAUUCUUUGUCGUUUUAUUCUUUGUCAAUGUGGCAGAAUCUCUCUCUUUUUUGUGCCGGUGCUUGGUUAAUUUUAAAAUCUUUCUUCCUUUUUUUUAAAAAAUUUAUUAAUGUUUUGGUAGAAAAACAGAAGGAUUCACCGAAAUGAAAAAUAGGGUGAUGAAUUUUUUGAUAAAAAGGAAAGGAACAGGUAAUCAAUGAAGCAAAGGCAGAGCGACUUGAACCCCCUCUUGUUGUUUUUGGGUGUUCGAUAGGUGAUCAUUCAUGGUAUUUACAUUUAAAAGUUUCUUUCUUUUUUUUUUAAUUUAUUAAUUUUUUUUAUUAAUUUAUUUUACAAACUUUUAAAUAAUAUUGGAUUUUUUAUUAUUGACUUUAUAGUUUUUUUUUUUUUAAAUUAUUCUAUGAAAUUCUCUCUCUCUCUCUCUUUUGUUCUAUUUUCUGUUCCUUAAGAAAACAAUUCUUUUGGGUGCUUAUCAACAAGUGUUGAAUGGUUGAUUUUGUAUUUAUGGGAGAAAGCGGAAGGAUUCACCAAAAUUAAAAAUAGGGAGAUGAAUUUUUCGGAUGAAAGUGCUAGUGUGGAAAUCCGCAUUAAGGGGCCAUCCACGUGAUAGGAGAUCGGACGAUCCUGAUCCUCUCACGUGUGUCCUAUCAAAUGGUUGGAAUUCACUCCCCCCAUUCGCGAUCGAACGGUCGCUAUGGAAUCCCGCCCAAAAGUGAUGAACGGUUGGACUUCCCACACCCCAAGGUGAUCAAACGGCCUAGAUUGCUUAUCUAACGAUCAGGACUUUAGGAAAGAUCGAAAGACCAAAAUAGCCUUAAUGAAGCCCUUGAUCCAAUGAUCAAUAUUUGAGGAAUAACGAUUGGGCAGUCGAGAUUCACUUUCGGACAUGAAACGACGAAAGUUUCCUGGGACGAGCAGAAAGAUCAUGCGGUAGAGAUCUGACGGCCGUGGAGGGGCCAAUUUAAGGAGUCUUAUUAAGGCUCUUCAUCUCACUUGUGAGAGGUGAGGCUGUGGAAUAGCGAUCUCGCCGGUGAGAGGGGAUGGCCGAGAUCGCAUUGUGGCAUCUCGACAGAAAAGGAAUUCAAAUGAGAUUGCACGGUGGCGAUCUCGAACGGGAAGUGGGUAGAGGUAGAUCGCACGGUGGCGAUCUCCAUGAGAAAAGGAAUACAAGCAGCGGAAACCGCAAGCCAAGGAGCGGAGAAGAGUGAGCGGCUUGAGCUACAACUGAAAGAUGAAGAAGGUGUCGCAUGCGCACUGUUGCCGCUGCGUGCGAGUGUGGGAAUGGGCUUACGGGAAACCGCAAACCGGUCGUGUGCGUGCAAAAUCCGAGCGCCGUAGAUGCAUGUACGACUUGGGAAGGUUGGGAUGCGGUUUUGACCGCAUGAGCGUGAGGUGGCGAGGCCUAGUAUGCAGUGAGGCUGAGCAGCUUUGGCCAUGGAUGCAUCUACGACUUGGGAAGGUUGGGAUAUAGUUCCGACCGCAUGAGCGUGCGGGGGAUUGCGUGUGAAACUGGUGGUGUGCGUGCGAAAUUCGAGUGCGGGGUGAGGCUGAGCAGCUUCGGCUGUGGAUGCAUGUAUGACUUGGGAAGGUUGGGUUGCGGUUUCGACCGCCCGAGCGGGUUUGGCCGUGGAUGCAUGUACGACUUGGGAAGGUUGGGAUGCGGUUCCGACCGCAUGAGCAUGUGGUGGUGAGGCCGAGUGCCUGCGAUGCGCGAAUGGUUCUAGUGUCGCCAUGGAUGGGUGAGUGUGGGUCGGGGAAGCGGAGAAUCGAACUAGACCGGUGGCGAGGUGGAGUGAACGCCGCUACCCAAGCCCUCUUGCCGCCGCUUGCGGCAAUUUUUCUCUCAUGUUUUUCCGCUUGAACCGAUUGGUUCUAACCGGUUUUGUUUGUGGUCUUGAACUGAACCAGUUCACCCUCCAUCCCCUGAACUAUAUGGAUGUUACCCAAAGCUCCGAUCCGUGGUAAGCACAUAAAUUUUUCUUUCACUCUCUCUUUUGUUCUAUUAUUUAUCCCUUAAAAUUUUUUUUUGUUUGGGUUCUUAUCAACAAUUGUUGAAUAGUUGAUUUUGUGCUUAUGGGGGGGGGAAACAAAGGGAUCCACAUAAAUGAAAAAUAGGGUGAUGAAUUUUUUUAUGAAAAAGAAAGAAACAGGUAACCAAGGAAGCCAAGGCAGCCCGAGUUGACCCCCUCUUGUGGUUUUUGGAUGACGUUUGAUAGGUGAUCGUUCAUGGUAUUUACAUUUAAAAGCUUCCUUCUUUUUUUAAUUUAUUAAUUUUCUUUCGUCAAUUUCUAUUACAAACUUUCAAUUAAUAUAUAAUUUUUUACUAUUAAUCUCGUAGUUCAUGGUAUUUACAUUUAAAAGCUUCCUUCUUUUUUUUAAUUUAUUAAUUUUUUUUGUCAAUUUCUAUUACAAACUUUCAAUUAAUAUAUAAUUUUUUACUAUUAAUCUCGUAGUCUAUUUUUUUUAAAUUAUUAUUUUGUCAAAUUUUUUAUUUCUCUUAUGUUCUAUUUUUUGCCCCUUAAAAAGAACACUUUUUUUGGGUACUUAUCAACAAUUAUCGAAUGAUUGAUUUUGUGUUUAUGGGGGAAAAACAGAAGGAUUCACAAAUAAAAAAUAGGGGGAUGAAUUUUUUGCUGAAAAGGAAAGGAACAGGUAAUCAAUAAAGCAAAGGCAAACCGACUUGACCCCCUCUUGUUGUUUUUGGAUGGUAUUUGAUAGGUGAUCAUCCAUGGUUUACAUUUAAAAGCUUCAUUCCUUUUUUUUAUCAAUUUCUUUUACAAACUUUUAAAUAAUAUCUGAUUUUUUAUUAUUAACUUCAUAGUUCUUUUUUUUUUCAAAUAAAAAUUAUUACUCUGUCAAAUUCUCUCUCUCUCGGUCUAUUUUUUUUGCCUUUAGAAGAAAUUUUUUUAGGUACUUAUCAACAAUUGUUGAAUGGUUGAUUUUGUUUUUAUGGGGGGAAGCAAAGGCAGCCCGACUUGACUCCUCUCUGGUGGUCUUUGGAUGACGAUAGACGGUCAUCCAUGAUAUUUACAUUUAUAGCUUCCUUUUAUUGUUUUUAAAUUUAUUAAUUUUUUCUUUCUCAAUUUGUAUUAUAAAUUUUCAUAUAAUAUUUGAUUUUUUAUUAUUGAUUUCGUAGUUGUUUUUUGAAAUAUUAUUGUUUGGUUAAAAAUUUUCUUUUAAAUGAUAUUUUUGUAAAAAAUAUAAAUAUAAACAACUUUUUUUUUUCACAUAUUCAUUCUAUUCAUAUUUUAUUUUUAAAUAUCAAAUUUUUUAUCAAACGUAGGUGGGGUCAAAAAGACGCAUAUUAGCUUGUCAUAAAAGCGCCUCAGCUCGUUAAAAAGACUUUCAGAAACUUCUACUUCUCUCUAAGUCUCUCCACUUUCGCUUUUUUCGGGUAUACUUCUUUCUGCCACUGAUUACAUAUGCUUGAUUAGGUUUUUUGAAAGUUUUUCAUUUUGCUUUUGUUCAAUUUUUUUAUAAAAAGUUGUUAUUAAUUGUAUAAAUAUCCAGAGAUCUCUAUUCAGAGAUGCCUCUAUUUAGUGGUGCAAUUUUUACUACCUUCCCUCUUAGGUUUCAAGUUAUGUUAAGAUUUUGCUUGCAAAAUGUUUACACAGUUUAGGUAUUAUGUUUUUUUUUUCUUUCUUUCAUUCGUGUUGAUUAAUAUGGUUAAAUUCUGUUGAUUGGUUCAUUGGUGUCUUAAUUGUAGGAUGUAAGAUUCGGCGAGUUCCCGAUCAUCAUGUUGCUCGUGGUUUAUGCUAUCUUCAUCUCUCUUGUGUUUUAUUUUCUGACUCUCAAGAAAAAAUUUUCUUUUUGGGUUCUUAUUAACAAUUGAUGGAUGACUAAUUUUUUUUUGGAUUUGUUUUAGGAGGUAUUCGCCAACCCUGCACGUGAUGAACGCUUGAUCUUUUGAGCUAUUUAGAUCUCAGGCAUGAUUUUGGGGAUAAUGGAAGUGCCACCUGGUUUCUUCAGGAUCUUGCCACUUAGCAAGGUGCUGAAGGAUGCAGGGUAACAUUCAAAUACCAAGAAUGGGGACAUCAUGUUUUAGAAUGCAGACCAGUGUGACUUACCUCAUCUUCUAGUACUAGGCCACACAAUUAGAAUACUUUCCCGUAUUGUUUAUCAAUAAUUUGAAUUCUUU